CUCACUUACAAGAGAAAAAAAAUCUAAAAACCCUUGGAUUUUAAAACUCCACCGCCGGCGACCGAUCUUUCCACCGUGGAAUCGUGGUUGCCUCGCCGUACAGUCUCUUCCAAUUGUGAAACCUCCGGUGCUUAUGCCUCUGCUCCUGGCCAAUAGUGCAGGCCGAGUUUCCUUGUUGUUGGAGGUUCAGCUUCCGAUGAGGGUGCCGCCAUGGACAUAGAGCACCUGAGGCUUCGACGAAGAAGAAGAAGAAAAGUAAAAGCAAGAAGAAGAAGAGUAUCCUUCAACAGACUGAUCCUCCUUCAAUUCCUGUUCUUGAGCUCUUCCCUUCUGGAGAUUUUCCUGAAGCUGAAAUCCAACAGUACAAGGAUGAUAAUUUGUGGAGAACAACAUCUGAAGAGAAGAGAGAGAUGGAGCGGCUGCAAAAGCCGAUAUAUAACUCUCUUCGCCAAGCAGCAGAAGUUCAUCGUCAAGUUAGGAAGUAUAUGAGAAGCAAAACAACUCCUUGCCACUAUUAACAAGAACUUCUCCACACUAGCCUUCUGCAGACGCUAUUUGGACCGCCUUGGUCUUGAUGGCUUUAAAGAAUCUUUGUGAUUCUGGCAUUAUUGAGCCAUGUCCUCCAGUGUGUGAUGUGAAAGGAAGCUAUAUUUCUCAGUUUGAGCAUACAAUCUUGUUACGACCAACUUGCAAAGAGAUUAUUUCCAAAGGAGACGAUUAUUGAAAUGGUGAUUUUCACAGAACUUGAAAAGGUUUUUGCUUGUGGCAGCUGUUCUUCUUGAGUUUGUAAAAUAGUUUUGGAAGGCUUUUUAAGUCUUGUGCUCAAAUAUUUGUAAGAGUACUCGAGAUACGGUGCAGACAAUGUAUGCAUCUUUGCAAGAGUACUCAGAGCAUUGUUGUCGAUCCCAAAUUUGCUAAAAAGACUAUCAGCAAAGAAGAGUCAGCUGAGAUUGCCAAAGAGAAGGGUAACCAAGCAUUAAUUCAAAGAUAAACAAUGGCAGAAAGCUAUUGGUCUUUAUUCAGAACCUAUAAAGCUAAGUGACAACAACGCUACCUAUCACAGUAACAGAGCUGCUGCAUAUCUUGAAGUUGGAGGGUAAUUGUUUCUCAGAUCCUUAAAAACAUUUUUAGUGAGCAAUCUUUCCAUGUGGCAUUGCCUUGAUAAAUCAUUUACAUACAACUUUCUUCAAGCCGAAGAAGACUGUACCAAAGCCAUCACCCUUGACAAGAAGCGGAAGAAUAUGCUGCGGUGAAUAUUCACUUGGUAAAUAAAAGAGGUCCUUCACAAAGUGCUAAUUCUGAUCAUGGUACAAAUCGAAGACGAUGGAAGAAGCCGAGGGAGGGCUGGAUUAAGUGUAAUUAUGAUGGCAGCUUCUUAAACAUUAACUCAAGAGCUACUGUGGGUUGGAUAAUUAGAGAUUCUCAAGGUAGCUUCAAAGGAGCAGGCCAAGCUUUAGGGGAUUUUGUUCAAUCGGCGCUGGAAGCGGAAUGUCAAAGUAUUAUUCAUGCUAUGCAACAUCUCUGGAUAAGAGGUUUUAAGAAGGUGAUACUGGAAGGAGACAACCAGAUUUUAGUCAAUUUGUUGACAAGAAACUCAAUGCGAUUUGAUAUUCUCAAUUGGAUCCAUGAAAUUAAAAGUUGGGAAAGAAGAUUUGAAGCUGUUGAAUAUAGUUGGGUUCCCCGAUCUUCAAAUCAACUAGCUGACAGGCUUGCGAGGAAUCAACGAUGGUGUUUGUCCAAUUUUAAUUUUCAUUCCUCUGUUCCUGUUUGUAUUUCAAAUAUACUCAACUCUGUUCCGACCAUUCAUUAAUUUAUGCAGUUAAGUGUUAAAAAAAAAAAAAAAA